GGUGGUUCUUGGGUGAUGCACCCUGGAAUCGGUCUCCCUCCUCUCUGGUUCUGGGUGCAUCACCCAAGAACCACC
rfam:Myotis lucifugus cont2.12030, whole genome shotgun sequence.